GAAUUAACAGCAGCAGUGUAAAAUGUUUGGCAAGAGGGGGGUAAGAAAUAGUUUACUAUGUGUAAAUACAAAGGGGGAGGUUAAACAGAGAUUUUAUCAAAUAUUUUGACAGCCAGUUAAACAUAAAAAUUUUAGAAUCAACCGAACUAGGAACAUGAAGCAUCCUGUAUUUGAAUAUGCAUCUUUGGGUUCAUUAAAUAUUAAGAAGAAGCUGGAGGGAAAGAGGGAGGGAGACCCUGAAACUUCUUUUAUAAGAUCACCGCUUAAGGCUGAAACUUUGGAAUAUAUUCCAAUAUUUUAGCAGAAGUACUUAUGAAAGAAAAGCAGAACCGCAACGAAUCAAAGAAAAGCAGAAGCGGCGCUGGUCGGAGUUUUCUUCUUCUUCUUCGUCUUCCUCCUGAAGCUUCUCUGUUGUUCCGUAUUCGAUUGUCCGUGUAAAAUUCUGACGGAAUCUUCAACCAAACAUUCACAUUUUUUUAAUCUUCAACAAUCAAAUCAAUGAAAAC